AGAAGAUAGUAAAGUGGCGCACGGGUGAGUAACGCGUGGGUAAUCUACCCUCGAAUCGGGGAUAACAUUGCGAAAGCGAUGCUAAUACCGGAUGAUGUCUAAUAAACUCAGGUUUAUAAGAUUAAAGGUGGCCUCUAUAUAUAAGCUACUGUUUGAGGAUGAGCCCGCGUACCAUUAGCUUGUUGGUAGGGUAACGGCCUACCAAGGCAACGAUGGUUAGCUGGUCUGAGAGGAUGACCAGCCACACUGGAACUGACACACGGUCCAGACUCCUACGGGAGGCAGCAGUGAGGAAUUUUGCGCAAUGGGGGAAACCCUGACGCAGCAACGCCGCGUGAGUGAUGAAGGCUUUCGGGUCGUAAAGCUCUGUCAAGUGGGAAGAAAGUGUUUGAUGUAAAUACCAUCGAGCAUUGACGGUACCACUGAAGGAAGCACCGGCUAACUCCGUGCCAGCAGCCGCGGUAAUACGGGGGGUGCAAGCGUUAUUCGGAAUUAUUGGGCGUAAAGAGCGCGUAGGCGGUCUUUUAAGUCAGAUGUGAAAGCCCGGGGCUUAACCCCGGAAGUGCAUUUGAAACUAGAGGACUUGAGUAUGGGAGAGGGAAGUGGAAUUCCUGGUGUAGAGGUGAAAUUCGUAGAUAUCAGGAGGAACACCGGUGGCGAAGGCGACUUCCUGGACCAAUACUGACGCUGAGGCGCGAAGGCGUGGGGAGCAAACAGGAUUAGAUACCCUGGUAGUCCACGCAGUAAACGUUG
rnacentral:rRNA from 1 species